UACGUAGGUGGCAAGCGUUGUCCGGAAUUAUUGGGCGUAAAGCGCGCGCAGGCGGUCCUUUAAGUCUGAUGUGAAAGCCCACGGCUCAACCGUGGAGGGUCAUUGGAAACUGGGGGACUUGAGUACAGAAGAGAAGAGUGGAAUUCCACGUGUAGCGGUGAAAUGCGUAGAGAUGUGGAGGAACACCAGUGGCGAAGGCGGCUCACUGGCCCGUAACUGACGCUGAGGUGCGAAAGCGUGGGGAGCAAACAGG
rnacentral:rRNA from 1 species